AUCAGUUGCCACGUCCAUCCGCCCGUGUAAAUAUGUAGCAUGCGUUAUCCACCAUAGACACGAAGGAGAUUUUCAAAACUUGACCUUUGUUCCAAAGCCUCAACCACCGCUGUCAAAGACAAUUCCACAGUCCAGAAUCGGCCCGUCGGGGUGGGGGAGAGGGGUCCGAUCCAGCCCGUGAGAACAGAAGUCAUUCACUUGUGAAAUUUUUAAAUCGAAGUAACUGUUAACUGCUAACGUUGUCCACUGGAGGGCGCCAUAACGACUUUUUUAAUGGCCCCUUACCACUUAAACAGGCUUCGGAAGUUGGCUGCGACUCCGAAUUUGACGCCUAAUGUGGAUGCACUUAUGGAGGCUAAAAGAUGCCCAAUUUCACGAGGAAAGCAAACCCAUAUCACAUCAAAGGUUUCUCUACAAAAUUUUCACAAAUGAAUACCAGCUUAGGAAAUAUAUUUAGAGACUGAAUAUUGGAAAACAUCUUUCAGGGUUCAUCUUAAACAGCUUCAAUUCAAAAGACGUUGCUUUGGUGGAACAACCUGUAUUCAGCGGCGACAGAGUGAGUAUAUUGGCAGAAGGAUGCUGAGGAUGGAGCUGCCAGGCAAAAGAGCGAGAGGAAGACCAAAGAGAAGGUUGAUGGAUGUGGUGAGGGAAGACGUGAGGGCAGUUGGGGUUAGAGAGGAGGAUGCAGGAGAAGGCUAAGAUGGAAAAAGAUGACACGCAGUGGCGACCCCUAACGGCACAAGCCAAAAGGAAAAAAAGAAGACUGUACUGUAUUUCUUGACCAUAAUUUUACCUGCUUUUGACAAGUCGCAGUUCUCUUUGCACUUGCUGGUCUUCCUCACUGACAUGCUAGACUGCUGCAUUAGCAUCCAGUCUAUGUGGAUGCAAGCAUCAAUGGUAAUUUUCUGUUUCUUUUUCUAUGAAUGCGCCGACUGUAUUAUGAGAUAAAUUGUCUUCCGCCUUCUUGGCCAGACCACCUUUGAAAAACAGAUUUGAAAUUAAAUUGUUUUUUCUGGUUAAAGAAAGGAUUGGAUUAAAGAAUUAAAGGUGAACUGCUCCAGAUGA